UCCCGGUUAACCCGGGCAGUCUCAUUAGAGUUCCCACCAUUACGUGUUGGCAACUAAUGACAAGGGUUGCGCUCGUUGCGGGACUUAACCCAACACCUCACGGCACGAGCUGACGACAGCCAUGCAGCACCUGUGCAGCAGCCCCGAAGGGAGACGCCAUCUCUGGCGUUGUCUACUGCAUGUCAAACCUGGGUAAGGUUCUUCGCGUUGCAUCGAAUUAAACCACAUGCUCCACUGCUUGUGCGGGUCCCCGUCAAUUCUUUUGAGUUUCACCCUUGCGAGCGUACUCCUCAGGCGGUAUACUUAACGCGUUAGCUACGGCACAACCGGGGUUGAGUCCAGUUACACCAAGUAUACAUCGUUUACAGCAAGGACUAC
rnacentral:misc_RNA from 1 species